GCACAAGAAAGAUAUGAGAAGGCAAAAGAAAAGACGGGCCAAAGAGAAAGGUUUGGGUGUUACAGUUGAAUAUGCCAAAGAGAAAGGUGCACAAACAAAAGACACUGUCCGUGAAGGAGCUCAAAGAACAUCAAAACAGAUUGCAGAGAAGGGAUCUCAGGCAAAAGAUUCUGUCCUUGAAGGGGCUCAAAAGACUACCCAGUAUGUAACAGAGAAAGGCACCCAAGCCAAAGAUACUCUCAAACAGAAAGGUGCACAGGCAAAAGACACUGUCCUGGAAGGAGCUCAAAGAACAUCACAACAGAUUGCAGAGAAGGGAAGUCAGGCAAAAGGGACAGUCCUUGAAGGGGCUCAAAGGACUACCCAGUAUGCCAUAGAGAAGGGUUCCCGGGCUAAAGAUUCCGUAGUUGAUGGGGCCCAAAAGACAUCUCAACGAAUGGCAGAGAAAGGCACUCAGGCAAAAGACACCGUCCUUGAAGGUGCUCAAAACACCACCCAAUAUGUUGCAGAGAAGGGUUCCCAAGCAAAAGACACUAUAGUUGAAGGGGCUCAAAAAUCUUCCCAGUAAAUUGUAGAGAAAGGAGCCAAGGCAAAGGAUGCUGUCGUUGAAGGGGCUCAAAAAACUACACAGUAUGCGAAAGAAAAGGCGGCAACUGCUAAAAAUGCGACUGAGGAAGUGGCACUUGAUGUGAAGGACAGAGCUGCUGUGACAGGUUGGACCGCCGCGCAUUACACCACAGAGAAAACGGUGGAGGGGACUAAGGCGGCAGCGAAGGCCGUUCAGGGAGUGACAGAGAAGGCCGCGGAGCUUGCGGCCAACUCUUUUAAUGCUGCUAAGCAAGCUGCUGUGUCUACAGGUGAGAGUAUAACGGAGGAUACUGCUAGGAAGAAAGAGGAGGCAGAGAGAGGACUGGAAGCCAGGAUAACAGUCGACAGGUACGCUAGCUUCAACAGAUAAUUUGUCAUGACAGUUGAAUUGAAUUUAGUACCUAGUACUCUUUCAAGUUUGUAUAUGAUAGUUUUUUUCUUGGUUUGCGUAGUUGUUUCUUAGUACAGGGAAAUCUUAUGCUAUGCUAUUACGCAAGUAAUGCAGGGAGCAUGAGUGCGAAAGCUAAUGUGAUUCCACUACCACAAUUAAGAAGAAGAAAGAUACUACCGAUGGUGAAAAAGAAAAAACCACAUUAAAUUUUCCUUGAAGAUAUAUAAUGUACUUUGGGUGAUGACAGGUUAAUUUGCAUGGUCAAGGAAUACUAGGAGAAAUAUUGCUGAAAUUGACUGAAAGCAAGUUAAUUUGAAGAUAAAUACUAACAAGGAUUUCAAUUUCACAUAUUUGGCUCUCAGCCUAAAUCUAAUACUGGGAAACAUCGCAUAAGAUGUGCAUUCAGCUGGUAUGUCCAUUGUUUGGAUAAGUAGAGAAGCAACUAGGGGUUUGGAGAAAGUCGUUAUGCGGCUAACUAUUCAAGAAAUGCUAGCUUGAUAUAUAGCUUCACCUACCAAUGGCUAGCAUGUCAAAAUUGGACUAUUUCAUAUCAAUGUUGUAUUCCAAUAGUCUUAAUACAAGUAUGAUUACUCUUUUGUAAUUUUAAUUGUUCUAUAAUUGAAAUGGAGUUUUACAUUUAUGUUUGUCUAAUUGAGGAUAAUGAGAGAGUUUCCAGGGUGGAUAAUACAUAGAAGAAUCCCAGCUUCAUUCAACAGGAGGAGAAGGAAAAACAGAGGCCAAACCAACCGAGAGCAUCAGCGGGAAAGUCUAUCCAGAAGCCUCAGAAGAACAAGAGGAGGAGCAUCAUCUGCACGAGCAGCAAAAGGGAGGCAGCCUUCUCGGUGCCAUUGGCAAAACUAUAACUGAGAUUGCUCAGACAACCAAAGAGCUUGUUAUUGCACACAACCAACCUAGAGCACAGGACAUUGCUGGAUAUGAAGCAAGCCAAACCCAAUAUAGCAAGCAAGAAGAACAUCAAAACAGAGAAUAAGUUUAAGUUCUUAGAGGUUUUGGUGGCCUCUCCUUCUAGCAACCAAAUUAAGUAGAUAAGAAGUGAUAUAUAAGCUAUGUUAUAUGUUCUGUUGAAUGGGUUCAUGAGCAUAGAUGGCCUUUUUGGCUGGUUUUGCUUUAUCUGUGAUUUUGGAAUGGUGAAACUUUGAAACAUUUACUGUAUUCAGUUCAUAAUCAUGUUUUAGUACUACUUGG
rnacentral:misc_RNA from 1 species